rnacentral:tRNA from 1 species
GGGGCUGUAGUGUAGCCUGGUCUAUCAUCUUAGGUUUGGGACCUGAGGACCCCGGUUCAAAUCCGGGCAGCCCCA